UGUCUUCCAAAGCAGAAAUUUCAGAGUCAGAUGGGCUUUCCUAGGGCGAGCCGGAUGUGCUGACCCCUGCAAUUUCCCCAAAUAUGAGAAACUCGGCUGCAUGAUUGGUCGUAGUGGGAGGACUGCAUUUAUGCUCUUCCCCA
rnacentral:snRNA from 1 species